rnacentral:rRNA from 1 species
AACGAACGCUGGCGGCAGGCUUAACACAUGCAAGUCGAACGCCCCGCAAGGGGAGUGGCUGACGGGUGAGUAACGCGUGGGAACAUACCCUUUCCUGCGGAAUAGCUCCGGGAAACUGGAAUUAAUACCGCAUACGCCCUACGGGGGAAAGAUUUAUCGGGGAAGGAUUGGCCCGCGUUGGAUUAGCUAGUUGGUGGGGUAAAGGCCUACCAAGGCGACGAUCCAUAGCUGGUCUGAGAGGAUGAUCAGCCACAUUGGGACUGAGACACGGCCCAAACUCCUACGGGAGGCAGCAGUGGGGAAUAUUGGACAAUGGGCGCAAGCCUGACGCAGCCAUGCCGCGUGGAUGAUGAAGGUCUUAGGAUUGUAAAAUCCUUUCACCGGUGAAGAUAAUGACUGUAGCCGGAGAAGAAGCCCCGGCUAACUUCGUGCCAGCAGCCGCCGUAAGAC